GAUGAAGAACGCAGCGAAAUGCGAUAAGUAAUGUGAAUUGCAGAAUUCAGUGAAUCAUCGAAUCUUUGAACGCACAUUGCGCCCGCCAGUAUUCUGGCGGGCAUGCCUGUUCGAGCGUCAUUACAACCCUCAGGCCCCCGGGCCUGGCGUUGGGGAUCGGCGGAAGCCCCCUGCGGCACAACGCCGUCCCCCAAAUACAGUGGCGGUCCCGCCGCAGCUUCCAUUGCGUAGUAGCUAACACCUCGCAACUGGAGAGCGGCGCGGUCCACUGCCGUAAAACCCCCCAACUUUUUAUAGUUGACCUCGAAUCAGGUAGGACUACCCGCUGAACUUAAGCAUAUCAAUAAGCGGAGGA
rnacentral:misc_RNA from 1 species